ACAGACCAUAAGGAGAGUGUUUUAAGACUAAAAUACUGAUGAGUAGGUAAAGGGGUAGAAUGUUUUCCCAGGGAACAAUUCAUCAGCCUCUGACAUGAUGUUUGUUUUGUAAAUCUCUUUUUUCAGAACAGUGAACGAUUUAAAGGGAGACUAAAACACUGAAAAAAAAUGCCGUUCAUAUAUUGUGUUCUUUUGAAUUUUUAUUUAUAUUUCUAACCUCUUUAGAUCAUUACAAGUAUAUACCUCAUAAUGAAAAUGAAAAUAAUUCCAUUUAAAAUGCUAUCUAGAAAGACCUUAACACGCAUUAUGUGUCAUAAUGAAGUAACACAAAGAAACUUCUUAAAACAUAGGAUUUCUCUCUAAAGCUUAAAUGUGAGGCAGACAGACGUCUAACUUUAAAACAGAUGGAACCCCAGAACAUUUCCAGGAUACAUAAAUCUGAAUUUUGUGUUACAUUUUAUGCCUGAGACAGCUAACCCAUCCAAAUUGAUGAGGCCUUUGUACUUGCCUCAACAAAUCGCCACAAAAUAUGUGAUGGAAGUGAUGCUGCUUCUAGGACUUCUGCAAGUUUCUCUCGGCACACUGGCCUGGGAGCCUUCAGCUGCCAGGACCUAAUGUGCCACAUGAACAGGAGAAGAGCAAAAUGGGAAAGACAGCUUAAGGAGAGAAUAGUAAAGGUUUGAAACAGACCCAGACAAAAUGGUUGAGUAGAGGCAAAAGGACUGUACAGACGGUAGCCAUUUGCUGACAUUCCCUGAAUGACGAAUUGUGGAAUGAAUUAGAGCUGCUGCACAUUCUGAAGAUUUCAAAAGUAGCUGUGCUUCAGUUAAGUGCUUAUUCAAUUUUCAGAUGAAGUCAUCAAAUUAAUUUUAAAACU
rnacentral:lncRNA from 1 species